GUCAGGCAUGGUGGUGCACAUCUGUAGUCCUAGCUACUCUGGAGGCUGAGGUGGGAAGAUCACUUGAGCCCAGGAGGUUGAGGCUGCAGUGAGCUAUGAUCAGGCCACUGUACUCCAGCCUGGGCAACAGAGUGAAUCCCCAUCUCUU
rfam:Homo sapiens chromosome 1, GRCh38 reference primary assembly.